rnacentral:rRNA from 1 species
GACGAACGCUGGCGGCGUGCUUAAUACAUGCAAGUCAACUUGACUUUAGAUAGCAAUAUCGAAAAGUAGGGUGGCGCACGGGUGCGUAACGCGUAGGUAAUCUGCCCUGAGGUCUGACAUAACCCGUCGAAAGGCGGGCUAACAUCAGAUGAUAUAUAAUCACGACAUCGUGGAAAUAUCAAAUCUUCGGAGCCUUGGGAUGAGCCUGCGUCUGAUUAGGUAGUUGGCGGAGUAAUAGCCCACCAAGCCUACGAUCAGUAGCUGGUCUGAGAGGAUGAUCAGCCACACUGGAACUGAGACACGGUCCAGACUCCUACGGGAGGCAGCAGUAAGGAAUAUUGCUCAAUGGGGGAAACCCUGAAGCAGCAACGCCGCGUGAAGGAUGAAAUACUUUUGUAUGUAAACUUCUGUAAGAUGGGAAAAUAUUCUCCUCGGGAGAAUUGAUUGUACCAUCAGAGUAAGCCCCGGCUAACCUACGUGCCAGCA